rnacentral:lncRNA from 1 species
AAAGUGACAGUGCAGCGCGCGCGUGUUUCCUUGAUUGCUUGCUUGUCUGCUAGGCCUGUGCAGGCCAAAGUGAUCGAAGCCAAAAGCUUCAGCUGCGCCAACACCCUCAACUUCAGAAGCAUGUUAAGACAUCAAUACUGAUCCAAAAAUAGUGAAUCUUGUACCCAAAAUGACAGGAAUUUUGUUAGCUUUCCAUAGCAACAAAAAAAUUUAAAUCAGAGCUACGAGGAGAGAGUACUGACCGUUUUAGUGAAGCCCUGUCUAGGAACACGAAUUUCACCAAUCUUCUUCUAAAUUGCUCCAAAUCCCUUAACCAUGGCUCCUUGAUUCUUGAAGCUCAUAUGCAAGAUGAAACUCAAUCUUAGGCUCGAUUCAAAGGCACGAAUUUGAGAAGGAAUGGAGAGAUUGGUUUGAUGUUUACCUUCCUUGAAAGCCAAAGACUCAAGGAUUACAAAUCUACAAUUGCAUGUGAACUUUGAGUUGAUCUUGGUUUGGAUUUGCUAGAUGAUGAUGAUACUAAUGUGAGAGAUGAGAGCAUAAGGAUGAGAUGGGGAGGUCAGAGAGAAAGAGAGAUUGAGAAUAGAGAGAUGAAAGUGUGAGGAUGGUGAGAC